rnacentral:rRNA from 1 species
CUACGGGGGGCAGCAGUAGGGAAUUUUCGGCAAUGGGGGAAACCCUGACCGAGCAAUGCCGCGUGAAUGAUGAAAUUCUUCGGAAUGUAAAAUUCUGUUGUGAGGGACGAAAACAGUUAGUAGGAAAUGACUAAUUGGUGACGGUACCUUACGAGAAAGCCCCGGCUAACUAUGUGCCAGCAGCCGCGGUAAUACAUAGGGGGCGAGCGUUAUCCGGAUUUAUUGGGCGUAAAGAGUGCGGAGGUGGCUUCUUAAGUCUGUCGUGAAAGCCCACAGCUUAACUGUGGAGGGUCGAUGGAAACGGGGGAGCUUGAAUCCAGAAGAGGUAAGUGGAAUUCCAUGUGUAGCGGUAAAAUGCUUAGAUAUAUGGAGGAACACCAGUGGCGAAGGCGGCUUACUGGUCUGGCAUUGACACUGAGGCACGAAAGCGUGGGGAGCAAACAGGAUUAGAUACCCCGGUAGUC